ACAAUUUCGUUUUUCGUUUUCUUAAUCCAACAUGAAAAACGAAUAUAUGCCUGUUUUUUUCAUAUUUCGAUUUUAGGCUCAGAUCAAAAAUACGAAACGGAAAAACGGGACACUUGACUGAAUUUGAAUUUUAUAUUUCAUCGUUUGUAUUUACGUGACCCGGAAGUUCUGUGGGCUAAUGAGAAUUACGAAGUUCUGCGCGCAACAGUUCAGGUAGUGCAAUGGCGGCAUGGCGGCGAUGGAACAACACUUUACUAUAGUCAAACAGUUCUUCAACAGCGGUUUGACCCACGCCGAAAUUUCUUCGAAGUUGCAGCAGAUGGGCAUUCGGCAAUGCUCGGAAAUGAGCAUCAGAAGAUUCUGUGCUCAGCAAAAUCUGAGGAGAAAAGGGCAUUUGUCGGAUGCGGAGCUGGAAAGUGCAUUGCUUCGAUCAAUAUAUGAGGUAGGUUUUCUUUCAGAUUUACACUUAAGGCUACCAUGUUGUAAAUGUUAGCCAUAUAGACAACAUAGACUCAGAGAUUACUGGGCUGGGAUAGCUCCGAGCUAUGAAAAUAAUUAAUAACAAUGACUACAUGGCAUAACCAACUAUAUUUAUAUCCAACACAUGAUAGUCUAGGACCUAGACUAUAGGCAGAUGAUAGUCUGAGAAAUACCUGCACGGAUAACCUGCUUGCAUGUGUAUGCAGCUGCAGCUUCAGCAGUUUCAUCAUUGUAUUGAGCCAACAUCCAACCUUAUCUGUCUCACGUUCUGAGAACUUUCCUGGACAUAACCUAUAUUCAGAUUAUUUUUCAUUCUGUUAUUAUUAUUUGUAAUUGUAAUUUGUAAUUAUUAUUUCAUUUUUUCUUGAGGGUGCUCGUAAUUUAAAUCCAACUCCCUACCAUGCUGAAUAUAUGGGUCAUAAACUUCAUCGAGACCAAAACGAAAAGCUUGGGAUGAUUGGCGUCGUCCAUGUCUUGGCUGUUGAUGGCUACAGCAGCAAAAUUGUUGCACAUUCGACCAUGCCAGUAAAAAAUAAUCCUGUGAUUUAUGAGGAUGUGUACAGAUCUGCAGUCGUGAAUCAUGGCAUGUGGGACCAAGUUCGGUUUGAUUACGGCAGGGAGUUUUACCUGAGUCUUUACAUGCAGAGAUAGAUGUUGUCACAUGUUGCUACAGACACAACCUCAGCAGGCCACCAUACCUCCAAACCACAUCAACAAGGAACCUUCGAGUGGAGAGGAUGUGGCCAGAGGUGAACAAUCGUGUAAACUAUCCACUGAAACGGGCUCUGGUGCACCUGCUUGACCAAGAGGUUGUGAACAUGGAGGACAACCUCACGAGAUUCCGCAUCUCAAACCUGACAUGUCAAGUAAGCCAAAUUGGACUUCACAGAGAGGUGGGUUCAUGGAAUGCACACAAGAUCCCAGGUCGAGGAAUACUGAAUAAAUUGGCAGCAGAUGGCUGCCGAGCUGGAGUUACAGAGGAGCUGCUGCCAUGUGCUUCUGUUGUGGCAAACAUGUAUGAGCAAGACUUGGGAUCUUUGCUGACUUGGGAGUCCUCUUUUGGAGCUGAUCCAUUUUCCUCAGACGAGGGCAGAUGUCAUGCAGAACAGAGCUUUGCAGAGACCUACCCUGUUAUCUCUCUUCUUUUUAAUCAUGUGGUAAACAAUGACGAUGGUCCUUUCCAAGAUGCUUUAAUCUGCCUAAUUAAUGCAGCUGCAAGAUAUGUAUGAAAAAUAAAAACUUA